rnacentral:hammerhead_ribozyme from 1 species
AUCCAGCUCACGAGUCCCAAAUAGGAUGAGACGCGCAUCCUGGAU